GGAAACUGGAGCAGCGGUUUCUUUGAUGGUGACCAUCUGCAGAGAAGAGUGGAGUCUGAAGACACUCAUUGUGAAGGCUGAUGCUGCUUGUCAACUCGACUUUAUUUGCAAAUGACAAAACACAGGCAGCUGGACACACCUGGGAGGAUUUUCUUGAUUGGAUCAUUUGAGGUGGAAGACCCACCCUAAAUCCUGCCCACACCUUCUGGUACAGAAAAGGACAUGGAAGAAGGAAGCUUUUGCAUUUUGGCUGCUUGCCCCAACUCUUGUUGGCAAGAUCAUCUCUACUGUUGCUAAGACAUCCACUCCUUCUCUGGUGUUAGAAUUGACUUCUUCAGGACUCCAGUGUAGACUGAAGACCAGCAGCUCUCUAGGAAUCCUUCAGGACUCCAGCAGCAGCAGCAGCCUGGGAGUGCUAAGACAUUCAGUCUCAUGAUCUGAAUAAAUACUGGCUCCUUGGCCUUUUCACCAGGAGACAGCAUUAUUGGACUACUUGGACCACAGCCUAGAAGCCAUACUAACAAAUAUAUAAAUAUGUUAUUUAUGUACAUAUUAAGAUAUAACAUAUAUGCAUAUGAUAUGUGUGUGAUAUAUGUAUGUGGUGUGUGUAUGUAUGUAUAUAUAUAUAUAUAUAUGUGUGUGUGUGUGUGUGUGUAUGUAUGUAUGUAUGUAUGUAUGUAUAAACACUAAAACAAAAGUCUAAUCCAUCAAACUCUAUAUUGUUCUGAGAAAGUCUCAAAAUGUCCCAACCUUGCUUUUUAGAUUCUGUGGUUCAGCUUCUGGCUAACUGUUCUUGUUAACUGAAGUAUGUCGACCCAGAACACAGUUUUUGCGCUUAAAAGCUUAUCCUGAGAAAGACUCUGGGCUGCACUGGGAUUCCUAAAACCCAGUGUAGCCCCCAGCUAAUAAAGACUUUAUUGGCUUAAAUAAGUGUCUGAGCAGUCUUCUCUGGUGAAUACUCCAAUU
rnacentral:lncRNA from 1 species